UGGACAGGGGGGUCUUCGCCCACCCGGCGAAGCCUGUCCAGCAAGGUUGUGCGUGAUGCGUGUCAGGCGCGACCAGUGGUUGUCGCUCGGGGGUGAUCGCCG
rfam:Streptomyces viridochromogenes strain NRRL 3414 P001contig30.1, whole genome shotgun sequence.